GACGAGGUGGCCGAGUGGUUAAAGCGAUGGACUGCUAAUCCACUGUGCUCAGUAUGCGUGGGUUCGAAUCCCAUCCUCGUCC
rfam:Mus musculus chromosome 1, GRC primary reference assembly.